AGUGAACGCUGGCGGUAGGCCUAACACAUGCAAGUCGAACGGCAGCACAGGAGAGCUUGCUCUCUGGGUGGCGAGUGGCGGACGGGUGAGGAAUACAUCGGAAUCUACUUUUUCGUGGGGGAUAACGUAGGGAAACUUACGCUAAUACCGCAUACGACCUACGGGUGAAAGCAGGGGACCUUCGGGCCUUGCGCGAUUGAAUGAGCCGAUGUCGGAUUAGCUAGUUGGCGGGGUAAAGGCCCACCAAGGCGACGAGCCGUAGCUGCGUCUGCAGGAUGAUCAGCCACACUCGGACCGAGACGAGGGCCACACUCCAGCGGGAGGGAGAAGGUGGGAAUAUUGUACGAUGGGCGCAAGUCUAAUCCAGCCAGCGCGCGUGGGUGAAGAAGGCCUUCGGGUUGUAAAGCCCUUUUGUUGGGAAAGAAAUCCAGCUGGCUAAUACCCGGUUGGGAUGACGGUACCCAAAGAAUAAGCACCGGCUAACUUCGUGCCAGCAGCAGCCGCAG
rnacentral:rRNA from 1 species